GUGCUCACUUUGGCAGCACAUAUACUAACAAUGAAAAGAUAUAGAGAAGGUGAGCAUGCCCCCUGUACAAUGGUGACACACAAAUUCAUAAACAAUUUUAUAUUUUU